AUUGAACGCUGGCGGCAGGCCUAACACAUGCAAGUCGAACGGUAACAGGAAGCAGCUUGCUGCUUCGCUGACGAGUGGCGGACGGGUGAGUAAUGUCUGGGAAGCUGCCUGAUGGAGGGGGAUAACUACUGGAAACGGUAGCUAAUACCGCAUAAUGUCGCAAGACCAAAGAGGGGGACCUUCGGGCCUCUUGCCAUCGGAUGUGCCCAGAUGGGAUUAGCUUGUUGGUGGGGUAACGGCUCACCAAGGCGACGAUCCCUAGCUGGUCUGAGAGGAUGACCAGCCACACUGGGACUGAGACACGGUCCAGACUCCUACGGGAGGCAGCAGUGGGGAAUAUUGCACAAUGGGCGCAAGCCUGAUGCAGCCAUGCCGCGUGUAUGAAGAAGGCCUUCGGGUCGUAAAGUACUUUCAGCGGGGAGGAAGGGAGUAAAGUUAAUACCUUUGCUCAUUGACGUUACCCGCAGAAGAAGCACCGGCUAACUCCGUG
rnacentral:rRNA from 1 species